rnacentral:rRNA from 1 species
AUGUUGCCCUCGCACCUCAACGGCCACUCCCCGCUCGCGCGCCGCCGCCCCCACCUCCCCGCGGCCUCCCCGCCCGCCGCCGCCGCCGGGGACCCCCCGGCGGCGGCGGGGGACGCCGCGCUGGAGGCGCACGACCGCGUCUACUUCCAGUCCUACUCCCACAUCGGCAUCCACGAGUCCAUGAUCAAGGACAGGGUCAGGACCGACGCGUACCGCGAGGCAAUCAUGCUCCACCAGAAGUUCAUCGAGGGGAAGGUUGUGAUGGAUGUGGGGUGUGGCACUGGGAUACUCUCGGUGUUCUGCGCUCGUGCCGGCGCGAAACGAGUUUAUGCUGUGGAUGCUAGUGAAAUCGCCACCCAGGCCAGUGAAAUUGUAAAAGCAAACAAUUUAGCUGAUAAGAUCAUUGUCAUUCAUGGACGUGUUGAGGAUGUUGAUGUUGAGGAGAAGGUUGAUGUAAUAAUAUCAGAAUGGAUGGGUUAUAUGCUUCUUUACGAGAGUAUGCUGCCAAGCGUUCUAUUUGCAAGGGAUAAAUGGCUUAAGCCAGGGGGUCUUAUCCUGCCUUCUCAUGCUACGCUUUUCAUGGCGCCUAUAACAAAUUCUGAUAGAUAUGAAGGAAGCGUUGAUUUCUGGUGUGAUGUUUAUGGCAUAAACAUGUCUGCUCUUGUGCCACUUGCCAAAAAAUUCGCAUCCGAGGAGCCCUCCAUUGAAAUAGUUGGUGGAGAAAAUGUUAUAAGUUGGCCAUUUGUGGUGAAGCACAUUGAUUGCUACACUUUUACGGUUGAGGAAUUCAAGUCUAUCACCACAACAUACAAAGUUUCAUCAAUGAUGUUAGCUCCAAUUCACGGCUUUGGUCUCUGGUUUGAGGUGGAGUUCAAUGGGCCUGCAGAGUCUUGUAGCAAUUUGUCCUCCGAUUCAAGUCCACUUGAUAUUAUUCAGAAGAAAAGGCGCAGGGCAUCAGAUAGCACAGUUGUGCUGUCCACAGCCCCAGAAGACGAGCCAACCCAUUGGCACCAGACAAUUUUGUACUUCCCUGAUCCUAUAGGGGUGACGCAAGAUCAAAUCAUAGAAGGCUCUGUAACAAUCACCCCAAGCGAGGAGAAUCCACGCUGUCUGAAUAUUCACUUGGAGUGCUCCACGGGAGGUCAAAACUUGGUGAAGGAUUUUGCAAUGCGGUAA